rnacentral:tRNA from 1 species
CGACGUAGCUCAGUUGGUAGAGCAAUGGUUUUGUAAACCAUCGGUCGAAGGUUCAAGUCCUUUCGUCGG